rnacentral:rRNA from 1 species
UACGGGGGGCAAGGGCAGUGUUCGGAAUUACUGGGCGUAAAGGGCUCGUAGGUGGCCAACUAAGUCAGACGUGAAAUCCCUCGGCUUAACCGGGGAACUGCGUCUGAUACUGGAUGGCUUGAGAUUGGGAGAGGGAUGCGGAAUUCCAGGUGUAGCGGUGGAAUGCGCAGAUAUCAGGAGGAACACCAAUAGCGAAGGCAGCUCGCUGGGACGUUACUGACACUGAGGCGCGAAAGCGUGGGGAGCGAACAGG